rnacentral:rRNA from 1 species
CGGAGGAAAAGAAACUAACAAGGAUUCCCCUAGUAACGGCGAGUGAAGUGGGAAAAGCUCAACUUUGAAAUCUGGUACUUUCAGUAUCCGAAUUGUAGUCUCAAGAAGUGUUUUCUGUGCCGGUCCAUGUAUGAGUCUGUUGGAACACAGCGUCAUAGAGGGUGACAACCCCGUUCAUGACAUGGAUCCCGGUGCUUUGUGAUACACUCUCGAAGAGUCGAGUUGUUUGGGAAUGCAGCUCAAAUUGGGUGGUAAAUUCCAUCUAAAGCUAAAUAUUGGCGAGAGACCGAUAGCAAACAAGUACCGUGAGGGAAAGAUGAAAAGCACUUUGGAAAGAGAGUUAACAGUACGUGAAAUUGUUGAAAGGGAAACGAUUGAAGUCAGACGUGCAUGAUGCGGUUCAGCUUUAGUUCGCUAGAGUGUACUCCGUAUCUUUGCAGGCCAGCAUCGGUUUUGUUAGUCGGAUAAAGGUUUGAGAAAUGUGGCAUCUUCGGAUGUGUUAUAGUCUCAGACUGAAUACGAUUGAUGGGACCGAGGAACGCAGCGCGCCGCAAGGCAAAGGUUCCGACCUUUUCGCGCUUAGGAUGCUGGUGAAAUGGCUUUAAACGACCCGUCU